rnacentral:lncRNA from 1 species
AGGCCAGCAGCUUUAGCUCCAAUUAGAUCCCCAGCCUGGAACCUCCAUAUGCUGUGGGUACAGCCCUAAAAAGCCAAAAUUAAAUAAAUAAAUAAAUAAAUAAUGAAAGAAAAGAAAGGAAAAAAAAAGAAAAUGUAGCACUUCUUGUUCAAAAAGAACAAAAUUCCAUUGAAGGUACUGAAAUAUAAAGCUUUUUAUUUUCUUCUGUUCUCUCUCUCUCAACUUAUCCUGUGUUAUAACUUUCUAUUAAGUCUUACUCUAAAUACAGUAUGAGUUAGCAUGAGUUUUUGCCAUACAUUUUUCUAUUGUGUGAUGCCAGUUCUAAAUGCAAAUAUAAGAACACUUAACUUGUAUAUGGGAUUCCUGAAAUUACUCCAUUUGUAUUUUAAAGCUUCAUGUAAGCUAACUCAACUGCUUUUAUUUUGCUUCUUGAUAUAUGCAUAUUCUAUUAAUAUUCUCUACCUAAGGCUUCUGUUGAAGAAAGAACUGAAAGGAAAAGGAACAAUGGGUUGCUCUAUAUUUCUCUUUCCUUAUGUGUCAUAAUUUUCAGUGUAGGUUGGCUGUUACAGGGAAAUAAGAAAGAUAUGAGAGCGUUCCUUGGCUGUUCAUAUUUCUUUGAAUGCCAUUGCCUGUUUCUACAUUCAAAGCAAAUUUUGGUUGGAAGAGAAAGCAUGGUCUCUUGGGUCUGUCAAUGCCAUCAUUUACUCUGCUGUAGAUAAAGCAUGCUUACCUUUUUCUUGCUUUGAAUCUUGCUCAACUCCCAUGCACAGUGCAUCCAUCAGAAUUCUAUGUUCAUAGGGUAUCACAGAUACAAUAUGCAAAUGAGGCAGCGAAGGAGCGAGGACAAACAAGUUGCUUGUCUAUCUCCUCUGCUUCUGUGUGUGCUCUACUGUUCCAUCAGAGUUAUCUAUAACACAGAAAGUCAAGGAUAACAUUAUUAAGCAUUUCAAGAUGGCAGCAGCAGAGCAUUAAACCAAGAAUGCUACCCUUCUAAACACUUGGCCCUGCGUGACUUCACAGGUUACAUGUCCAAGAAGCUGUCUCACUAAACUGGCCCUGAUUAAUUCCUGUCGUGGCUUAGUGAUUAACGAAUCCGACUAGGAACCAUGAGGUUGCGGGUUCGAUCCCUGGCUUUGCAGUGUGUUGAAGAUCCGGCAUUGCUGUGAGCUGUGGUGUAGGUUGCAGACAUGGCUUGGAUCCUGCAUUGCUGUGGCUCUGGUGUAGGCCACUGGCUGUAGCUCCGAUUCGACCCCUAGCCUGAGAACCUCCAUAUGCCGCAGGAGCGGCCCAAGAAAUCACAAAAAGACAAAAAUAAAUAAAUAAAUAAACUUGACCCUCUCAAUAUGGUGCACAGUCAUAUUUAGUGUAUAUGCUAUUCUCUGACUAACAACUUCAUGGUCAGGUUUUAUCUGAGUGUGUCUCUGCCUCAAAUGUAAUGUCAAACAUCACUUCUUAUAGCAUGUUAAACAAAACAAAAACAAAACAUAAUGAACAACAACAACAACAAAAAAAACCCACCAACUGAAUAAUCAUAUGAGGUAUGUCUGUAUUAAUUGCAUUACAAUGCUCAGAAAUCUUGCCAAAUGGUAAUCAGGAACAGGCAUCAUCAAUUUUUUUUUUUUUUUAUCAUCUUUAGCAUGGAGAAUUCAUCCUAAUGGUCAGAAGGUGUUCUAACUUUUGACAUUUUUAUAGGCUAGAGAGGAAGGACAGUAGCCCAGUCUCUGCAUUUCAGUAUCCACAACUAUGUUACUUAUAGUUGCAAGGGAGUCUGAAAAAUGUGUAGUUUAGCUUUGGGUAUCUUUGGGAAAGAAAGGCAAAGGAAAGGGUUUGGGAAAUGUGGGGAGCCAAGAAGAUACAAGAAGCCGAGGAAGGGAGCUUUCCUGAACGGUGCAAUUCCAAGGGCAGUCUCCUAAUCAGAAAAAGAGGCCUGCCUGAAUGGUGCAGUUGUGAGGGCAGUCUCCUAAUCAGGAAAAGGGGCCUGUCUGAAUGGUACAAUUCUGAGGGCAGGUUCCUAAACAAGGGGAUGCCUGCCUGUAUGGCACAAUUCCGGGGACAAGCCCCAGAAGACACUAAGGCUCGCCUGCUGACAUAGGUGGAAAACUAAAUUUCCCAGGAAAUAAUUUCCAUUUUGUGUUGCUGAGUGGGGAUUGUUCCAUGGAUAACUUAGUCUUUUCUGUUAUUCACUUGCUAUUCAGUUUUCCUCAAUCUUUCCUGAUUAUUUACUUAUUAUUCUUAUUUCCCAUUCUUAUUUUCCUGUGGUGAUUUGUGAUUUAACAAAAUUACAACAAUAAUAUAAUAAGAAUUUCAUCCUGAAGGACUUUCCCCUAUUUUAAUCCAACUUAGUUAAAACAUAGUGUUUAUCUAUUAGCUAGUUACAUAGUAAACUUUAGAGUUAGGAUCUUAAUGAGGUUCAUGUAUUAUCCAAAAAACCUAGCUGUGAGUUUUGUCCUUGAUUUUAAAAGCUUUUAAGUGAUAGCUAGUUUAGUUAAGUUGGUUUAUAUUUACUUACACUAUCUCCCUGCCAUAACGCUUUGAAGAUAAGCACCAGUCUACAAACAAGGUUUGUGAAUGCCAAAUUCUUGUGUCUAUGGCCUCUUCAAAGUACUCACUAAGUUUAGUUAAGAUAGAGAUUUUAAAACAGGAUGCAUAGCUGCUAUACCAUGUAAUAGUUAACCAAUGUACUUUUAACACUGUGAUGUAAUCUGUAGUGAAAAACUGUCUAUAUAAUCAACCACUGUUGCCAAUAAAGUUUGAGCAGUCCAGCGCCCUGAAAGAAGGGACAAGAGGCUGUCUCCUUAUUGUACAUUUUCGCCGACGCCGUCCAUCUCCGAUCAGGAAAAAGUGUACACUCCCUGGCUGCCAGAGCUGGCCUCCAGCAGGGAAAGGCUCUUGGAUAGUCUGUCCAUGGUGUCCACCACAGUCCACCCCUUUGCUACACCUGAUUCACACAUUUCUUUAUUUUCAUACAUUCACUUCAUGUGGAAUACAUUUACUUCUUCCCCCCAAGGAAUACAGUUCUAGUUACUGCAUGCUGGUCAAAGUCCAGUAUCUCUGUGUGAGAUCUAGUUCUCUUCACAAGUUAUGGCUGUGGUUCCAUGUGACCUGGAAAACUUAAGUUUAAGAGUAAAAACAGCUGGAGUUCCCGUCAUGGAGUUCCCGUCAUGGCUCAGUGGUUAACAAAUCCAACUAGGAACCAUGAGGUUGCAGUUCGAUCCCUGUCUUGCUCACUGGGUUAAGGAGCCGGUGUUGCCAUGAGAUGUGCCGUAGGUUGCAGACUCAGCUCGGAUCCCGUGUUGCUGUGGCUCUGGUGUAGGCCGGUGGCUACAGCUCCAAUUCGACCCCUAGCCUGGGAACCUCCAUGUGCCGCAGGAGUGGCCCAAGAAAUAGCAA